GUUAACAAAAUGGAUACACUUUGUAAAUUGACCAUGGAAAAAUUAUACUGUAUCUUAUGAAACUGAAUAAAUUGAUUCUUGUUUCGACGCAUCAGACAGGUGGGCGACUAGGAAUAGAUGCAUGGUCGACCACGGUCAACGCUUUGGCCACCUGUUAUAUAGCAUAUGUAGAUCUUUGAAGAAACCCAACAUGGAGUCUCGUAUAGUAGAUCAAAAACUAUAUAUAGUAACAUUAGAAAUGAUAAGGACAUACCAUUUAAAAGUUGCCUGUUCUUGUGUCUACAUAGUGUCAGCUACAGAUAUGAAUGCAAGAAGAGAACAACUCUAUACAUAGAAGUAGAAUAAAAGAGCCUGAAAACCAGACUUCAACAGCACAAAAAAGACAGUUACUACAUUUAUAACCUUGACAGUUUUUUAUGAAAAAAUUGAUAAUAGACCAGAAGUAACUGGAUGACAGACUGUGAGCAGUAAUAAUGAAUUUUUAUAGAAUAUAUAAGAAAUUAGAAUAGCAGAAAUAUUUCAGACAGUAAAAUGCUCACACAAUGAAUGAUCAUCUACUGGAAACAGUAUCAAGCCCCUGAUUAUGAGUGCUGGAGAACCAUGUCUGACAAGUUAUACACUAAUUUUCAGUUUUUAUUCUUAGUUUUGCCUGUCGUCUUGCAUAAAUUUGCUGUAUCUGUUUUUUUUUUUUUUUUUUUUUAAAAUUU
rnacentral:lncRNA from 1 species